rnacentral:lncRNA from 1 species
AUAAAUUCGAUGCAAAAUUGAAAGAGUUUUGGAUUUCUAAAACUCUAUCUCAUAGAAUUCGAAAUCCAAACUUAUUCCUUUUUGAUUUGAUCCAAACCACCUUCCAUGUAAGAAAGAAGAGAGAAAACCUUUUGUGAACGUGGAAGAGACCUGAGAGAGGGCUUUUGUCACACAAAAUAAGUGGAGAUUGGCGUUGAAUAAGAGAGAGGGCAUGGGGAAGGCUUAUGUGGCGCAAGGUGGAAUCCUAGUCUUACUAGGAUUCUAUCUUAUAUCUUGUUUUAAUUUGGUUUCCCAAACUAAAUCAAACCAAAAUUAGAUCAACCUAAUUAAAAUAGGUAUUAACCCAAUUAAGAAUCUAAUUUAAUUAGAUUAAAUUAUAUUUAAAUCUAAUUUAAUUUUCUAAUCAAAUUAGAAAUUAGAUUGACCCAAGUCCUAGUUGAACUAGGACUAGUUUUUCCUUGCACUUGGCUUAUCCAAUAAACUAAUUGGACUUGAUCCAAUCAAGCACAAAAUAAAUCUAAUUAAAUUAUAUUUAAUUAGACUUAAUCUCAGCCCAUUGGCUUAAUCAAAUUAAGCCAAUUAGCAAUCGAAUUGCUAAUCGAUCCUCCUGCAAUACUUACACAGGGUUAAAUGUCAAUCGUAUUGAUCAUUUAACCCUAGAAUGAUUCUUAAUCGUUGAUCAACCAUCCGAUCCGAUCAUGAACUCUAAUGUGUGUGACCUCAUAGGUCCGAACCUAAGCCGGUAGCACAGGAAUAAAUUUUUGUACCAAUCUAAGUGACCAUCUAGCAAUGAUACCCGACAACCGGAUAGGUCGAAUGUGUAGAACAACAUCUUUAGAACCCAUGCGGAUAUAGUUUUCAUAUAAUUCAUCCCCUUGACCAAAAUGAUCAUAGGACACCCCAGAGUUCAACUGUCAACUCUGAUCAGGUUGUCCAUAUUGUAU